UACAGAGGGUGCUAGCGUUGUUCGGAAUUACUGGGCGUAAAGCGCGCGCAGGCGGGUCCUUUCAUGCUGGGGGGAAAUCUCACCGCUCAACGGUGAGGCUGCUCUGGAUACUGCGGACCUGGAGACCGGUAGAGGCUGGUAGAAUUUCCGGUGUAGCGGUGAAAUGCGUAGAUAUCGGAAGGAACACCAGUGGCGAAAGCGGCUUCCUGGUCCAGCACCGACGUUCAGGCACGAAAGCGUGGGGAGCAAACAGG
rnacentral:rRNA from 1 species